AACACCCUUACUGUACCUGACAGUGCUAUCCAAUAUAUAUUUUUAGUUUCUUCCUGCAGUAACUCUGGAUCAAUAAGAGAUGAAUCUCUUAUUGAUCCAGAGUUACUGCAAGAAGAAACUAAAAAUAUAUAUUGGAUAGCACUGUCAGGUAAGUAAGGGUGUU